rnacentral:lncRNA from 1 species
AGACUCGACGCCUUCCGCGUCUUCAAACUCCAUGGCCGCCAAGUCGUUCGCGCCCUUGACAACCUUGUGAACCCAGCGCGCGUUGGCCAGCUCUGCGAGGUGGUUGUGAAACGACGUGUCCGCGUAGAGCGGGAAAGAAGGCGACGUCAAGCUCGUGUACUUGAGAUCGCCGUCGACGUAGAACUCAAUCGCGCCCGCGUCGUUCACGAUCACUUGGAAAGUCUCACCCGCGACGAAGACGCCGGCAUCGAACUUGUUCACGCCCUUCUCUUGGAAUCGGACCUGAUUGCCGUUGCAGAACACGGCGUAGUCGAUGGUCGUUUGGCUGUGGCCCGAGGGCGUGCUCGACAAGCCAAACUGCAAGUGCCUGUUGUCGGUGCGCAUGCAGUCGCCGGAAAUGCCGCGAACCUCGUCGCCGACUUUCGUGAUGGCGCGCGCGCUGUACGCACCUCUUGCCCAGUUGUUCCCGCCUUGAGUACGUUUGAGGUAGCCCUGUUUGCCGUCCGUCGUCAUGCCCUGCGAAAGUCCGACCCACUCGAUGAGAUCGAGAUCCCGUGAACCUUUAUGAACAACUUUUAUCCACUUCACAUUUUCGAGGUGUCCUCCACCUUCAUCAACGUAUCCAUCGGCAAACAAUGGGAAGAUCGGUUCUCUGCUACUAUUGUAGACAGAAUGUCCUUCUUUAUAAUAGUGAACGAUACCCUCGUCAUUAAAUGCGACCUGGAACGUUUCUCCCGCGAGGUAUGUUCCGAUCGUGGCCAUAAGCUCACCGUCUUCGUAAACUUCCAUUGUUCCGGCAUUGCAACCAACGGCAUACUCAAUAGCAUCGCCAUCCGAGGGUGUGUAAUGAGCGCUGCUCAAACCGAAUAUCAUUUUCGUUGUUGUGUCACUGCAAUCCGCAGAAAUACCGCGAACUUCGUCAUAAAUUUUAGUUACGGCGCGUUUACUUGUCGAGCGCACAAUGUCCAUUUUUUCAGGUGUAACCGGCAAGUACACGUCGCCGUGUGACACUUCACAUCGCUGGACUGUUUCAAAGUCCAUCAUGUUUAGCCAAUGCAUGUGGCUUAGCUUCGCACCUUCGGUGAAGAUUCGAGCCUGGGAGUAAAGAGGGAAUUCAACACUUUUAGUGCUGACAUGAAGAACAUUACCAUUUUGCAGAUACUCGAUGACACCAUGCUCGUUGAUGACGAUAGAAAAUGUCUCUCCAGGGCUGUACGCCGAAGGAGGCUCGACAAUGCGCUCGUGCCUUUGGAAGGCUGACGCAUUGUGUUGGUCAUUUAUGUAUUCGGGUGAAUCACUAUCCAAUGAAUCAAGUGCCAAGUCUGGCGAAGUACCAAGAUGUGUUGAAGGCGGUGGACCUUGAGCAUCGUUCUCCGGGGUCGGGACUUGAAGUUGGCCUUCAAUCCCAUGUGGUGUAUUCGGCUCGGGACGUCGAUGUGGCUCGAUUGUUUUGAUGACAACUCCAUCUUCAAGGAGACGCAACGUUCCGGCAUCACAGUAUAUCGCAAAGGACAGGUUCGUCUGCGCCGGAGCAGUAGCGGUUUCAUUCGCAGCGGUUUCAUUCAACUGAGCAUCUUGAUCACCUUGCACCAUGAGUCCAAACAUCAUCUGUGACUUGUUGUCGGAACAAUCGGCAGACACGCCUUUUUUGGUGUCAUUCCAACCGCGAAUUGAUGAACGACUCGUUGCGAAAGCAAGUAAUGAAGCUUCUUCGAUGCGUUUUGCCGCCUCUUCACUCAACACGUGAGCGAGAGAUCCAGGUGUAAGAGUCGCAUUCUCAGGUAGAAGGAACUCAACAGGCUCAAGGUCAUCGGCACCUUCAAUGAUUCGGUAAACCCAGCGCGCGUUGGCCAGCUCUGCGAGGUGGUUGUGAAACGACGUGUCGGCGUAGAGCGGGAAAGAAGGCGACGUCAAGCUCGUGUACUUGAGAUCGCCGUCGACGUAGAACUCAAUCGCGCCCGCG